GACGAACGCUGGCGGCGUGCUUAACACAUGCAAGUCGAACGGAAAGGCCCUGCUUUUGUGGGGUGCUCGAGUGGCGAACGGGUGAGUAACACGUGAGUAACCUGCCCUUGACUUUGGGAUAACUUCAGGAAACUGGGGCUAAUACCGGAUAGGAGCUCCUGCUGCAUGGUGGGGGUUGGAAAGUUUCGGCGGUUGGGGAUGGACUCGCGGCUUAUCAGCUUGUUGGUGGGGGAGUGGCUUACCAAGGCUUUGACGGGUAGCCGGCCUGAGAGGGUGACCGGCCACAUUGGGACUAAGAUACGGCCCAGACUCCUACGGGAGGCAGCAGUGGGGAAUAUUGCACAAUGGGCGGAAGCCUGAUGCAGCAACGCCGCGUGCGGGAUGACGGCCUUCGGGUUGUAAACCGCUUUCGCCUGUGACGAAGCGUGAGUGACGGUAAUGGGUAAAGAAGCACCGGCUAACUACGUG
rnacentral:rRNA from 1 species